AUUAAGAAGAAGGCAGAUGGCUCCAUUGACAGAUAUAAGGCACGUCUAGUUGCAAAGGGCUUUAAGCAACGUUAUGGCAUUGACUAUGAGGACACCUUUAGUCCCGUUGUGAAAGCUGCAACUAUCAGACUUGUGUUAGCCAUUGUUGUAUCCAGAGGAUGGAGUUUAAGGCAGCUAGAUGUACAGAAUGCGUUUCUGCACGGUGUUCUGGAAGAGGAAGUGUUUAUGAGACAACCACCUGGGUAUGAGAGUAAGAAAUUGCCACAGUAUGUCUGCAAGCUUGAUAAAGCACUCUAUGGUCUAAAGCAAGCACCCAGAGCAUGGUAUUCCAGAUUGAGCUCACAGUUAAAAUAUCUUGGCUUUGUUGCUUCCAAGGCUGACACAUCCUUGUUUAUUUAUAACAAGGCAGGAGUAGUCAUUUUUGUGCUUAUAUAUGUUGAUGAUAUCAUAGUUGCAAGUUCUUCACAAAAUGCUACUAAUGCUCUUUUGCAUGAUUUGAGCUCAGAGUUUGCCUUGAAGGACCUAGGUGAUUUG
rnacentral:rRNA from 1 species